GGUCCAGACACCUACGGGUGGCAGCAGUCGAGAAUCAUUCACAAUGGGGGAAACCCUGAUGGUGCGACGCCGCGUGGGGGAAUGAAGGUCUUCGGAUUGUAAACCCCUGUCAUGUGGGAGCAAAUUAAAAAGAUAGUACCACAAGAGGAAGAGACGGCUAACUCUGUGCCAGCAGCCGCGGUAAUACAGAGGUCUCAAGCGUUGUUCGGAAUCACUGGGCGUAAAGCGUGCGUAGGCUGUUUCGUAAGUCGUGUGUGAAAGGCGCGGGCUCAACCCGCGGACGGCACAUGAUACUGCGAGACUAGAGUAAUGGAGGGGGAACCGGAAUUCUCGGUGUAGCAGUGAAAUGCGUAGAUAUCGAGAGGAACACUCGUGGCGAAGGCGGGUUCCUGGACAUUAACUGACGCUGAGGCACGAAGGCCAGGGGAGCGAAAGGGAUUAGAUACCCCUGUAGUCCUGGCAGUAAACGGUGCACGCUUGGUGUGCGGGGAAUCGACCCCCUGCGUGCCGGAGCUAACGCGUUAAGCGUGCCGCCUGGGGAGUACGGUCGCAAGAUUAAAACUCAAAGAAAUUGACGGGGACCCGCACAAGCGGUGGAGUAUGUGGCUUAAUUCGAUGCAACGCGAAGAACCUUACCUGGGCUUGACAUGUUCCCGACGGUCGUAGAGAUGCGGCUUCCCUUCGGGGCGGGUUCACAGGUGGUGCAUGGUCGUCGUCAGCUCGUGUCGUGAGAUGUUGGGUUAAGUCCCGCAACGAGCGCAACCCU
rnacentral:rRNA from 1 species